GGUAGACAAAACAACUGUAGCUUGUAAUGUUGCCUUUCAACUGAUAGCACUUCCAAAAAGAGUAAACAAAUAACCUUUCAAAGAUCUUCUCUUGUCUAAGUCCUCUAUCAAAUGUCAGACCAACUUCUGUAGUACCUUUCAAAUACCUUAAAAUCCAUUUUACUGCCUGCCAAUGCUCUUUCCCAAGACACGCUAUGUAUCUACUUAUAACACUAACUAUAUGUGAAAUGUCAGGUCGGGUGUAAACCAUAGCAUACAUGAUGCUACCA
rnacentral:misc_RNA from 1 species